CGGUGUACUACGUGCCAGUAGCCGGGGUAAUACGGAUGUGUCAAGCGUUAUCCGGAAGUAUUUGGCGUAAAGCGCGCGUAGGCGGUUUCUUAAGUCUGAUGUGAAAGCCCACGGCUCAACCGGGGAGGGUCAUUGGAAACUGGGAAACUUGAGUGCAGAAGAGGAAAGUGGAAUUCCAGGUGUAGCGGUGAAAUGCGCAGAGAUAUGGGGGAACACCAGUGGCGAAGGCGACUUUCUGGUCUGUAACUGACGCUGAUGUGCGAAAGCGUGGGGAUCAAACAGGAUUAGAUACCCGAGUAGC
rnacentral:rRNA from 1 species